UUAUUUGGAGAAAUUAAAAAUAAAACCACAUCUAUCUAAAGAUGAACAAGUAUACAUAUACAAAAACAAUUGAUGGCUAUCGUCUCUCUGCAAGUUCAUUGGCAGGUACAAAACUUUAAUUUCAAUCCAAACCCAGAAGACCUAUGAUCACUUCAUCCAUGGAGAUCAUCUCAAACCCCAUAAAGCUUCUUCCUUUUAUCAAUUAUCACAACUCUGUUCAUCUUCUUCUUGCUCUGCUUUUCUCCUGCCAUGGCUGCUGAUGAAGACCACAUAAGAUGCCUACGAGGAAUCCAGACCUCUCUCAUCGACCCUCAGGGAGUUCUCAAAUCAUGAAACUUCGCAAACAAAAUUCUCGGGUUCCUCUGAAACUUCGUCGGUGCGCUUUGUUGGAACAAUCAUGAAACUUCAACCUUUAUCACGACAAUACAAACCACCGCUGAUAUAUUUCUGAACUAUUUUCAGUCGCAGCGGCAACAGACAUCAAGGGGAAGAGACGCUGAAAUUAUAUGCGACACAGCGUCUCGUUUUUUGGUCUCCGGCAAUUUAAAGCGUCUACCGCAACUUCCGAAUUCUGCUAUUCUGGUCUCCGUCGUAGUAUAAUUGUUUGCCGCGGCGGCUAAACUUUGCGUUUAUGAAACGAACAUGACUAUAGUAAUCAAUCUCGAGCUUCGAAACAUGUGUUUAUCUGGUCGGGUCCCAGAAUCUUUUCAGUACUGUGGUAGCUUACAGAAGCUCGAUCUAUCUAGCAAUUGAUUGUCUGGUAACAUCCCUCCAAAGCUAUAUUCUUGCUGGUGUGUUUGGUGGUAUUACCAUAUGAGAAAGAGUGUUAAAACGAAGGAGUUAGUAGCUUAGCACAGAGACUUAGUAGCCAUAUGCUAGCGCAAGUCUCUUUGUUUCAGAAUCCUUUGAUUAAGGUUAAGCUGGGGGGACUUGAUGGCUGCAACUAAUGGUUUCAGCUCUGAGAACAUUAUCGUUACAACUAAAACAGGAACAACGUAUAAGCCAGUUUUUCCUGAUGGCUCGGCACUUGCGGUGAUGGCUCGGCACUUGCGGUGAAGCACUUGAGUGAGUGUAAGCUUGGGGAGAAGGAGUUUUGGUAUGAGAUGAACUAGUUGUGGGAGCUGCAUCACCUAAGUCAGCGCCACUUUUUGGUGUCUGAGUAACUGAGUUGUUGAAGAAGAGAAGCUUCUUGUUUAGUAUUUUAAGCUUUUACACGUAAUUAAAAUCUUGUAAUAUAAUUCAUGUAAUAUUUAUGAGUAAUGAGGUUGAUUACAGGAUCUGUGGCAAAAAUAAAUGCAUUGGUAGAAAGACUCGUAUCAAAUCACCUAAAUAACUCUGAAAUUUUUAAAAAUUAGU